GACGAAGGGGGCAAGCGUUGUUCGGAAUUACUGGGCGUAAAGGGCGCGUAGGAGGUUCUGUAAGUCAGGCGUGAAAGCCCUGGGAUCAACCUGGGAAUGGCACUUGAUACUGGAGGGCUAGAGAGUGGUAGAGGAUGGUGGAAUUCCCAGUGUAGAGGUGAAAUUCGUAGAUAUUGGGAAGAACACCGGUGGCGAAUGCGGCCAUCGGGACCGUAUCUGACGUUGAUGCGCGAAAGCGUGGGGAGCAAACAGG
rnacentral:rRNA from 1 species